rnacentral:rRNA from 1 species
UACAGAGGGGGCAAGCGUUGUUCGGAAUUACUGGGCGUAAAGGGCGCGUAGGCGGCCGCCUAAGUCAAACGUGAAAUCCCUCGGCUCAACCGGGGAACUGCGUCUGAUACUGGGUGGCUUGAAUCCGGGAGAGGGAUGCGGAAUUCCAGGUGUAGCGGUGAAAUGCGUAGAUAUCUGGAGGAACACCGGUGGCGAAGGCGGCAUCCUGGACCGGCAUUGACGCUGAGGCGCGAAAGCCAGGGGAGCAAACGGG